rfam:Actinokineospora spheciospongiae strain EG49 contig1266_3, whole genome shotgun sequence.
CUUCACCGACCCCAACCACAGCGGCUUGGACCGGUCCUGCCCGUAGGUGGCCAUGAGCGCCUGUGCCUC